rnacentral:rRNA from 1 species
AUUGAACGCUGGCGGAAUGCUUUACACAUGCAAGUCGAACGGUAGAGGGGGCAACCCCUCGAGAGUGGCGAACGGGUGAGUAAUAUAUCGGAACGUGCCCAGUCGUGGGGGAUAACGUAGCGAAAGUUACACUAGUACCGCAUACGAUCUAAGUAUGAAAGCGGGGGAUCGCAAGCCCUCGCGCGAUUGGAGCGGCCGAUAUCAGAUUAGGUAGUUGGUGGGGUAAAGGCUCACCAAGCCAACAAUCUGUAGCUGGUCUGAGAGGACGACCAGCCACACUGUAACUGAGACACGGUCCAGACUCCUACGGGAGGCAGCAGUGGGGAAUUUUGGACAAUGGACGCAAGUCUGAUCCAGCCAUUCCGCGUGCAGGAUGAAGGCCCUCGGGUUGUAAACUGCUUUUGUACGGAACGAAAAGGUCUCUCUUAAUACGGGGGACUCAUGACGGUACCGUAAGAAUAAGCACCGGCUAACUACGUGCCAGCAGCCGCGGUAAGAC